UACAGAGGGUGCAAGCGUUAAUCGGAAUUACUGGGCGUAAAGAGCGCGUAGGUGGUUAAUUAAGUUGGGUGUGAAAGCCCCGGGCUCAACCUGGGAAGGUCAUUCAAAACUGGUUAGCUAGAGUAUGGUAGAGGGAAGUGGAAUUUCCGGUGUAGCGGUGAAAUGCGUAGAUAUCGGAAGGAACAUCAGUGGCGAAGGCGACUUCCUGGACUAAUACUGACACUGAGGUGCGAAAGCGUGGGGAGCAAACAGG
rnacentral:rRNA from 1 species